AGAGGGGAAAAUCUGGCAAUGUAAAUAGAAAGUAUCUGUUUACAUAGGUUUUUUAGAAUUUGAUCUGAAAUUUUAGCAAGUUGCAGAAUGGGUUGUGAAGCACAACAUUUCAUCUCUUUGAUUCUAGACACUAUCCUCAGAAAUUAGAUUUGAAAAAUGAGCUUCAUUUUCGAAGAACAUAUUGAAUUUGUUAUCUCGAUUAUGGAGGGCGACAAGUCCCACAGUCUGCCAUCUGCAGGAUGGAGAACCAGAGUGAGGAGACAUUUGGAAUAAAUAUGGCUUCUGGGGGCCCAUUCCUAUGGAUCAGCAGCUGGCUUCUGGAGGCCCAUUCCUGUGAAUCGUCGAUCUCAUAGAAGAUAAUAUUGUUAGAAGGCUUACCUCAUUGAUGCUGAACAUCCUAAAAAGCUUCUGCUGCUUUGAGUCACUGAAAAAGACCAAGAAACAUGAAUUUAAAAAAAAAUUUCAAAUGUUAUAAAAUAAAUAAUAUGAACUCAUUAUACCUACAAUGAAUAA
rnacentral:lncRNA from 1 species